GUAGGGGGCCAGCGUUGUCCGGAUUCAUUGGGCGUAAAGAGCGUGUAGGCGGUUCAAUAGGUCCGAUGUGAAAACUCGAGGCUCAACCUCGAGAGGUCGUCGGAAACCAUUGAGCUAGAGUCCGGAAGAGGAGAGUGGAAUUCCUGGUGUAGCGGUGAAAUGCGCAGAUAUCAGGAAGAACACCGAUGGCGAAGGCAGCUCUCUGGGACGGUACUGACGCUGAGACGCGAAAGCGUGGGGGGAGCGAACAGGAUUAGAUACCCUGGUAGUCCACGCCGUAAACGAUGGGCACUAGGUGUGGGUGGUGUCGACUCCAUCCGUGCCGCAGCUAACGCAUUAAGUGCCCCCCGCCUGGGGAGUACGGCCGCAAGGCUA
rnacentral:rRNA from 1 species